GCCCUGGUGGUGCAGUGGUUAAGCACGCGGCUGCUAACCGCAGGGUAGGUGAUUCGAACCCACCCAGUGGCU
rnacentral:tRNA from 1 species